GAUUAAGUUAUUAAGGGCGCACGGUGGAUGCCUUGGCACUAGAAGCCGAUGAAGGACGUUACUAACGACGAUAUGCUUUGGGGAGCUGUAAGUAAGCUUUGAUCCAGAGAUUUCCGAAUGGGGAAACCCAGCAUGAGUUAUGUCAUGUUAUCGAUAUGUGAAUACAUAGCAUAUCAGAAGGCACACCCGGAGAACUGAAACAUCUUAGUACCCGGAGGAAGAAAAAGAAAAUUCGAUUCCCUUAGUAGCGGCGAGCGAAACGGGAAGAGCCCAAACCAACAAGCUUGCUUGUUGGGGUUGUAGGACACUCUAUACGGAGUUACAAAGGACGACAUUAGACGAAUCAUCUGGAAAGAUGAAUCAAAGAAGGUAAUAAUCCUGUAGUCGAAAAUGUUGUCUCUCUUGAGUGGAUCCUGAGUACGACGGAACACGUGAAAUUCCGUCGGAAUCUGGGAGGACCAUCUCCUAAGGCUAAAUACUCUCUAGUGACCGAUAGUGAACCAGUACCGUGAGGGAAAGGUGAAAAGCACCCCGGAAGGGGAGUGAAAUAGAACCUGAAACCGUGUGCUUACAAGUAGUCAGAGCCCGUUAAUGGGUGAUGGCGUGCCUUUUGUAGAAUGAACCGGCGAGUUACGAUUUGAUGCAAGGUUAAGCAGUAAAUGUGGAGCCGUAGCGAAAGCGAGUCUGAAUAGGGCGUUUAGUAUUUGGUCGUAGACCCGAAACCAGGUGAUCUACCCUUGGUCAGGUUGAAGUUCAGGUAACACUGAAUGGAGGACCGAACCGACUUACGUUGAAAAGUGAGCGGAUGAACUGAGGGUAGCGGAGAAAUUCCAAUCGAACCUGGAGAUAGCUGGUUCUCUCCGAAAUAGCUUUAGGGCUAGCCUCAAGUGAUGAUUAUUGGAGGUAGAGCACUGUUUGGACGAGGGGCCCCUCUCGGGUUACCGAAUUCAGACAAACUCCGAAUGCCAAUUAAUUUAACUUGGGAGUCAGAACAUGGGUGAUAAGGUCCGUGUUCGAAAGGGAAACAGCCCAGACCACCAGCUAAGGUCCCAAAAUAUAUGUUAAGUGGAAAAGGAUGUGGCGUUGCCCAGACAACUAGGAUGUUGGCUUAGAAGCAGCCAUCAUUUAAAGAGUGCGUAAUAGCUCACUAGUCGAGUGACACUGCGCCGAAAAUGUACCGGGGCUAAACAUAUUACCGAAGCUGUGGAUUGUCCUUUGGACAAUGGUAGGAGAGCGUUCUAAGGGCGUUGAAGCAUGAUCGUAAGGACAUGUGGAGCGCUUAGAAGUGAGAAUGCCGGUGUGAGUAGCGAAAGACGGGUGAGAAUCCCGUCCACCGAUUGACUAAGGUUUCCAGAGGAAGGCUCGUCCGCUCUGGGUUAGUCGGGUCCUAAGCUGAGGCCGACAGGCGUAGGCGAUGGAUAACAGGUUGAUAUUCCUGUACCACCUAUAAUCGUUUUAAUCGAUGGGGGGACGCAGUAGGAUAGGCGAAGCGUGCGAUUGGAUUGCACGUCUAAGCAGUAAGGCUGAGUAUUAGGCAAAUCCGGUACUCGUUAAGGCUGAGCUAUGAUGGGGAGAAGACAUUGAGUCUUCGAGUCGUUGAUUUCACACUGCCGAGAAAAGCCUCUAGAUAGAAAAUAGGUGCCCGUACCGCAAACCGACACAGGUAGUCAAGAUGAGAAUUCUAAGGUGAGCGAGCGAACUCUCGUUAAGGAACUCGGCAAAAUGACCCCGUAACUUCGGGAGAAGGGGUGCUCUUUAGGGUUAACGCCCAGAAGAGCCGCAGUGAAUAGGCCCAAGCGACUGUUUAUCAAAAACACAGGUCUCUGCUAAACCGUAAGGUGAUGUAUAGGGGCUGACGCCUGCCCGGUGCUGGAAGGUUAAGAGGAGUGGUUAGCUUCUGCGAAGCUACGAAUCGAAGCCCCAGUAAACGGCGGCCGUAACUAUAACGGUCCUAAGGUAGCGAAAUUCCUUGUCGGGUAAGUUCCGACCCGCACGAAAGGCGUAACGAUUUGGGCACUGUCUCAACGAGAGACUCGGUGAAAUCAUAGUACCUGUGAAGAUGCAGGUUACCCGCGACAGGACGGAAAGACCCCGUGGAGCUUUACUGUAGCCUGAUAUUGAAAUUCGGCACAGCUUGUACAGGAUAGGUAGGAGCCUUUGAAACGUGAGCGCUAGCUUACGUGGAGGCGCUGGUGGGAUACUACCCUAGCUGUGUUGGCUUUCUAACCCGCACCACUUAUCGUGGUGGGAGACAGUGUCAGGCGGGCAGUUUGACUGGGGCGGUCGCCUCCUAAAAGGUAACGGAGGCGCUCAAAGGUUCCCUCAGAAUGGUUGGAAAUCAUUCAUAGAGUGUAAAGGCAUAAGGGAGCUUGACUGCGAGACCUACAAGUCGAGCAGGGUCGAAAGACGGACUUAGUGAUCCGGUGGUUCCGCAUGGAAGGGCCAUCGCUCAACGGAUAAAAGCUACCCCGGGGAUAACAGGCUUAUCUCCCCCAAGAGUUCACAUCGACGGGGAGGUUUGGCACCUCGAUGUCGGCUCAUCGCAUCCUGGGGCUGUAGUCGGUCCCAAGGGUUGGGCUGUUCGCCCAUUAAAGCGGUACGCGAGCUGGGUUCAGAACGUCGUGAGACAGUUCGGUCCCUAUCCGUCGUGGGCGUAGGAAAUUUGAGAGGAGCUGUCCUUAGUACGAGAGGACCGGGAUGGACAUACCUCUGGUGUACCAGUUGUCGUGCCAACGGCAUAGCUGGGUAGCUAUGUGUGGACGGGAUAAGUGCUGAAAGCAUCUAAGCAUGAAGCCCCCCUCAAGAUGAGAUUUCCCAACUUCGGUUAUAAGAUCCCUCAAAGAUGAUGAGGUUAAUAGGUUCGAGGUGGAAGCAUGGUGACAUGUGGAGCUGACGAAUACUAAUCGAUCGAAGACUUAAUCAA
rnacentral:rRNA from 1 species